rnacentral:rRNA from 1 species
GAUGAACGCUGGCGGCGUGCCUAAUACAUGCAAGUCGAGCGAACAGACGAGGAGCUUGCUCCUCUGAUGUUAGCGGCGGACGGGUGAGUAACACGUGGAUAACCUACCUAUAAGACUGGGAUAACUUCGGGAAACCGGAGCUAAUACCGGAUAAUAUUUUGAACCGCAUGGUUCAAUAGUGAAAGACGGUUUUGCUGUCACUUAUAGAUGGAUCCGCGCCGCAUUAGCUAGUUGGUAAGGUAACGGCUUACCAAGGCAACGAUGCAUAGCCGACCUGAGAGGGUGAUCGGCCACACUGGAACUGAGACACGGUACAGACUCCUACGGGAGGCAGCAGUAGGGAAUCUUCCGCAAUGGGCGAAAGCCUGACGGAGCAACGCCGCGUGAGUGAUGAAGGUCUUCGGAUCGUAAAACUCUGUUAUUAGGGAAGAACAAAUGUGUAAGUAACUGUGCACGUCUUGACGGUACCUAAUCAGAAAGCCACGGCUAACUACGUG